GGGGUUAUGGCUCAGCGGUAGAGCACUUGCCUAGUAUGCGUGAGGCACUGGGUUCGAUUCUCAGCAGCACAU
rnacentral:tRNA from 1 species